UACAGAGGGUGCGAGCGUUAAUCGGAAUUACUGGGCGUAAAGCGCGCGUAGGCGGCUUUGCAAGUCGCGUGUGAAAAGCCCCCCCGGCUCAACUGGGGAGGGUCACGCGAUACUGAUCGACUCGAAGGCAGGAGAGGGUAGUGGAAUUCCCGGUGUAGUGGUGAAAUGCGUAGAUAUCGGGAGGAACACCAGUGGCGAAGGCGGCCCUCUGGUCCAGUACUGACACUCAAGUGCGAAAGCGUGGGGAAGCAAACAGGG
rnacentral:rRNA from 1 species